UUUUUUAAAUAAAUGUGGAAAAAGUUGCGCAUGACACCCACUGGUUCGGGGUGACGAAAAUGUGGUUGGGUUUGAACUUGGUGUAAAAACUCACCGUUCCAAAGUGGUUGUCCUCAUUCGGUUCAUCAGCUCCAGGGAACGUUGUUGGCUCCCACAACUUGCAAAGAAAUAUAUCAACGUUGACGAAAACGGCAGUUGAUCACAGAAUUUCCAAGUGCUCGUGGCCUCGAGGCAUUUUCAAAAGUCGUUUUGUCUGAGAGCCGUUUUCUUUUAGACCGAAAAUGAAUCCGUUAGGUUUGUUUGUAACAAUAUGCAGCUUGCAUAUAAUUUUGGCCAUUCCUGAAAGUUUUGAUGCAGUUGAUCCAGAGGACACUUACGCGAAAAAAAUUGCAGCGGAAUAUCCAGGCUUUUUGUUUAAACGAGCUCCUUCUGGCUUUUUCGGAAUGAGAGGCAAGAAACAAAACAACGAAGGAAUAAAACGUGCUCCAUAUGGCUUUACAGGCAUGCGUGGUAAAAAAGCCGAAACAUUUGAGGAAGGUUAUCAUUAUCCUACUAAUGAAGCGGAUUUUUAUGAGUUACUGAUGAAAUGGCAAAACCAAUUGAAUUCAAUUAGCUAUGCAAACCAGCCCUACGAUACUG